UUAAACAAAAUUGUUCCUACAUCAACGAUACUUUGCUCAACACAACUCAAAAACCUAAAAAUGAAUUGAUCUUCGCCGUAACCGCCAUAGCCGUGUAGCAUCACCACAUCUUUGCCGGUGUUUUGUUGCCACAACCUCGUCGGAGCCUACGUUGUCAUCUUCUUCAUCUUCACACUUCAACUCAGGUUGUAGUAGUGAUGCACGAGGUUUUAGCAAUUGGAAGAUGAUUGUAGUAAUGCACGCACACCAGAGAAUUGGAAUAAGAUGAUCGACAAUAUGAUAAAUAAUCCUUUUAAUGCUUCAGACAAGACAUUUAAUCCCGAGGCUGUUGUCGAAGCUCAGAAGCGGAUGAAAAGGCUAUUCAAAGAGAUUGUUUCUUUACCUGCCAACCUAGACUUCAUGAUCUUCAACCACCGAGGCAAAGUUUUCCCCCUGGAAACUGAUUUGAAGCUGAAACACUAAGGACUCUUGUAUCAACCAUCAAGUGUCAUUAUCCGUCGUGUAAGAAAAAUAGUCUCCUAAUAUGAAAGAAUUUGAAUGUGUUUGAUAUAACUGUUGGUUGAUGUAUGAAAUCUUGUUGUAGCUUAUACUUAUCAGUAGUCAGUACUGGGUACUUGCCCUUGUAAUUUUGACAGGAUUUUACUAUUUGUAUUAUUUAUGAAGAGCCAACUUUCA